AUUUACAAGUGGCAGUAUCGUAGCCAAUGAGGUUUAUCCGAGGCGCGAUUAUUGCUAAUUGAAAAACCUUCCUAUAAAGAAAACUUUAAGCUCAGAAGUCUCACUGAUGCAAUCUUUAAAGAGUUAAUGCUAAA